UUGUAUUAUUAUUUUCUCUCUGUGAUUUCAUGCAUGCUUCCAUAUAUAUUGAAAUUGUCCAGUUUACUAAUGGAUGUUUCUGUAUGAUUUUGCAUGUCUCCCUUGAUAAAAUCUUGAGCAAAAUAUGCUUAUGAAAUCGAUCUGAUUUAGCUUUAUAGAUGUGUCUGCAUCUGUACUGCUUAUUUGCUACCCAUAUAAACAUAUAGCUUUAUAUGAGGGUGCCCCUCAUUUGCAAAUGUGUUUUAUGCGAUGUUUAUAUAUCUAGGCACUGGAAUUAGUGUUUUUUGUUUUUAUUUUGAUCCUAGGGGCUCAAAACAGAAUUUUUUUGUUGUUGUAAGUAUAUAUGUGAACAUAUAAUAUCAGCAUUUGGAGUGAAUCGGGUUCAUUUUAAAUUUUCUUAAAUUUAUUGAUUAUUAGAUGACAUAGUUAACAGUUUUUGUGAUUUUAAAACAAUUGAAGGUGAGAUUUACAUAAUUAAACAAUCAAUUAAAAUUUUGAAUUGAGUGUUAGUUUUACCUGACUGAUUUCUUUGUUGGGUUUAUUACUGCUCGAUGUUAACACUCAAAUAUGGUUUUUGCGCAAGUGGUGAUCGGCCUGCUUGGGUUAGGAAAGACCACUUAUUGCAAUGGCAUGUCUGAGUUCCUCCAGCUCAUCGAAUGAAGGUCGCUGCGGUAAAUUUGGAUCAUUCCACUGAUGCAUUGCCGUAUCCAAUGUCGUAUGUUGAGGUUCAAAGCCGAUUUGGGGAUUUUGAAAUGGUGGACACCGGGCCCAGUUACACCACUUCAGGAUGAUAUCAUAGUGGAUCCAAUGGAGUCUCCAGAGAUUGUUGAUGAUCCAUUCCAAACUAUGUGAGUUUUCAAGUUGAAAAGUGGGAGUAUAGCUCAGAGAAAAACCCUUGAUUGAAUAAAUUACUGAAGAGCCAAUUUAACAUCAGCAGAUAUGAGGGAAUCUGAUUUCAGUGGUUCAACUUUCAAUGGUGCAUACAUGGAGAAAGUUGUCACAUAUAAGGCAAACUUUGAGGGAAGAGCAUGGUGGCAUGUGCUUUGGGUGGGAGUUUGUACUACAGGGGAAGCUGUCGUACAUUCUUGAAGUAGAACAUUGUGCAGAGAACGUUCGGAGGAUUGGAACCAUGGGUUAAGAAAAUGGGUCCAAAUUCAGAGCUGCGUUCUUCUUCCCUCAAAAUAAGAAGAAAACACUUCCUCAGCACCAGAUUUUGGCACCUCAGUAAAAUGACGUUUUUGUCCUUGCUGUUCGAUAGAAAUGUCUCGAUUUCUUCUGGAAGCCGAGCUCCUGAUAUCCACGCGUCCUCUGCUUCUCUGAGAUGUCGACGCGUUGCAUGGUUCCAGGAGUUCUCGAGCCUUCCUUUUUGGAUUUCGAUUUUGAUCCCCGCCUCACAAAAGCUCUUCGUACUCUGAUGGCUCUCCGAUCUCCAGUUCUCUCUCUCUCUCUCUCUCUCUCUCUCUCUCCCUUUCUUGCUCAAAACCAUGAUUAGCAACCUUAAGCGAGAAACUCAGUUUUCUCUUCCUUCCUGCUCGACUUGAUUCGAACAAAAAAUCUCUUGCACGAAAUCAAUUUUCUCCCCAUCACCGAUUUCGACCGCAUGCACACCUAUCAAGCCUUAGAAUCCAACAGAACUCACCCCCCUCAAGCCCGUUUUUGCUCUUUCACUCGCUGCCCAGAAAAUCAAGUUCUCAAGCGGAGCCACCGCGACCACUAGGGGCCACUGCUGCGUUAAAUUAUGGGCUUCAAUCGUUUUCUAAAACCUUCUGUAUUCAUGGUAAGUUAUUCUAGGUUUUAUUCCAUAUUCAGAUCAUCCCCAAUUUCGAAAGUUUAGGGAAUUGAUUCGUUUCCGUGUUGCAUGUUUAACAUUCUUCUGUGUGAUGCUGAGUUGAGGCUAUACGAACUGGAAUCGUUGAGGGUAGGCUUGAAUUUGGCCAAAUUUGGAACCAGAAAGACCUUGGAAUCACACAGUAAAUCAAUAAUGCAAAUGGACAGAUCCCAUCAGAGCACUCUGUUACCCCUCUGUUACAUGAUUUUGUACAUCCGUUAUAUGCUAUCUCCCGAAUGCUUAUCCGCCUACUGCCUAUUACUAUGGAGGAAGAAAGAAAGCAGCCUACAAUUUUAUAAACUAUUGUCCAUAUGCCUUUUUAAUGGUAUCAAUGAAGGCACCCUUCUCAACAGCAAAAGUCAAUUAGUUUAACAACUAUCAAACCUCUUAAAAAAUCUUAUCAAUGGUUGUAACAGCAUUGAUAGCCAGUAGAAAAGUACAAACAAUUUCUUUCUUCAUAAUAAUUAUUACCAUAAAUCAUUGGUCUACGAUUUUUCUAUUCUUUUGCAAUUAUUGCUUUCUUUGCUUGAAUGAAUUUGGAUUUUUUUUCCCUUUGCAAAUAUGAAUCUUUGCUAUUUGCAAAUGUUUUUAUGCAUAAUUUACAAAGUUUAUUUUCUGGAAAUUCUGUAGUCUAUAGUAUGCAUAUUCAUUGAAUAAUAUGUGACGAUUCCU